rnacentral:rRNA from 1 species
GAUGAACGCUGGCGGCGUGCCUAAUACAUGCAAGUCGAGCGAACGGACGAUAAGCUUGCUUCUCUGAUGUUAGCGGUGGACGGGUGAGUAACACGUGGAUAACCUACCUAUAAGACUGGGAUAACUUCGGGAAACCGGAGCUAAUACCGGAUAAUAUUUUGAACCGCAUGGUUCAAAAGUGAAAGACGGUCUUGCUGUCACUUAUAGAUGGAUCCGCGCUGCAUUAGCUAGUUGGUAAGGUAACGGCUUACCAAGGCAACGAUGCGUAGCCGACCUGAGAGGGUGAUCGGCCACACUGGAACUGAGACACGGUCCAGACUCCUACGGGAGGCAGCAGUAGGGAAUCUUCCGCAAUGGGCGAAAGCCUGACGGAGCAACGCCGCGUGAGUGAUGAAGGUCUUCGGAUCGUAAAACUCUGUUAUUAGGGAAGAACAUAUGUGUAAGUAACUGUGCACGUCUUGACGGUACCUAAUCAGAAAGCCACGGCUAACUACGUG